GAUGAACGCUGGCGGCGUGCCUAAUACAUGCAAGUCGAGCGAACAGAUGAGGAGCUUGCUCCUCUGACGUUAGCGGCGGACGGGUGAGUAACACGUGGAUAACCUACCUAUAAGACUGGGAUAACUUCGGGAAACCGGAGCCAAUACCGGAUAAUAUAUUGAACCGCAUGGUUCAAUAGUGAAAGACGGUUUUGCUGUCACUUAUAGCUGGAUCCGCGCCGCAUUAGCUAGUUGGUAAGGUAACGGCUUACCAAGGCAACGAUGCGUAGCCGACCUGAGAGGGUGAUCGGCCACACUGGAACUGAGACACGGUCCAGACUCCUACGGGAGGCAGCAGUAGGGAAUCUUCCGCAAUGGGCGAAAGCUUGACGGAGCAACACCGCGUGAGUGAUGAAGGUCUUCGGAUCGUAAAACUCUGUUAUUAGGGAAGAACAAAUGUGUAAGUAACUAUGGACGUCUUGACGGUACCUAAUCAGAAAGCCACGGCUAACUACGUG
rnacentral:rRNA from 1 species